GAGGCGAUCCGGAGCACUUCUCCUCCACGGAGGAUGCUCAGGCUGUCCGUCUGAGGCAGCGGCCGACCGUCCUUUACCCAGCACUUUGAGUUUGAAGUGGCGACGGGCUUCUCCAGCCUGGUUACGUGAGACACAGGUGUAGCGUCCCGUGUGGUCUACCUGGAUGUGGGAUAUCUGCAGAGUGCUGUUGUGGUUUAGCAGGGUCAUGUGGGUAUCCGUGGACAAAGCAGCUCCCUCCUUCAUCCAGGACAGGGAUGGGUUUGGGGUCCCACUGGAGACACACACCAGGGCAACCAUGCUCCCCCUCACCAACGUCACAUCAUCAGUACUGCCUGCUCCAUCCAGACUAGGAGGAACUGAACAUUCAACAACCAAGAGCGCAUUAAGGAAGAACACACAGAUGCCAGUGCACAUAAUUAAACUUGCUUUACUCAGUUAGAUGAUUAAAAAAAAUUUAAAUAUC